GUCAAGUGUGUGUAACAUUUUAUUUCAGGUUUUUUUUUCCAACAACUUUUCACUGAGACAUAGUUGACAAUUAUUGAUCCAGCUGGAGAUCAAUUUAAACAAAAUAUUUUUUUUUUGGAUAUCCUUAUCUACAAAUUAUGCAAUAGCAGCCUUUGUCUCUAGGGUAAAAAGAAAACAUCAAAUGUUAUGGGCAUGCUAAGUUUUUAGCAAAAGAACUGAAGCUGCAUAAGUCAAGAUAAAGAAAAAGAAAGCAGCCUGGUCUGCCAGCCCUAAGACAGAUGAAUAAAUAUACAUGAACUGUGGCAAACUCUGCCACUCCAGAAUUGGCUUGAUCAGUCCAGAUUCUGCCCUGUCUUAAGACCAUACCAAAGUCAGCAAUUAAUCUGUCUUUCGAGACAGAAGGAGACAUAAUUUAAUAUAUAAUUUUUAAAAAAAAUAUACAGUGUGUAUGUGGUGGGGGCAUCCCUGGAGCUAAAAAUAAAAUGAAGGCAGUCAACAAAAAGAAAAUGAGAAUAUUUUUUGGUUGCAUCAACCUGUCAGUUGACUUGCU